rnacentral:rRNA from 1 species
UACGUAGGGUGCGAGCGUUGUCCGGAUUUAUUGGGCGUAAAGAGCUCGUAGGCGGCUCGUCGCGUCGACCGUGAAAACCCGCAGCUUAACUGCGGGCUUGCGGUUGAUACGGGCGGGCUAGAGUUCGGUAGGGGAGACUGGAAUUCCUGGUGUAGCGGUGAAAUGCGCAGAUAUCAGGAAGAACACCCGUGGCGAAGGCGGCUCUCUGGGACGGUACUGACGCUGAGACGCGAAAGCGUGGGGAGCGAACAGG